rnacentral:rRNA from 1 species
CACACGACUCUCGGCAACGGAUAUCUCGGCCCUCGCAUCGAUGAAGAGCGUAGCAAAAUGCGAUACCUGGUGUGAAUUGCAGAAUCCCGCGAACCAUCGAGUUUUUGAACGCAAGUUGCGCCCGAGGCCUUCUGGCUGAGGGCACGUCUGCCUGAGCGUCACUC